CUGCGGGGGAUACAUUGAUUAUUCCUGGGUUGUGCUUUCCUGCUUAAUUACCCGAUCCGCUACGCUUACGGGGACGGGGGUGUCCAUUGUUCCCUUAGUCAAAAUGGGAAUUGUGCGGGGCUUCUCAGGAUGGCUGCGGCACACCUUAAAAUGACACUUUUUAUUUAUUUAUUUUUUUAAGAAACCCCGCUGUUGAAAGAUAAACUGCCUUCCGUGUUGGGGAUGAGUAGGCUCCCCAUGAAAAUCUCUGUUUAGCCUGUCAGAGAUAAGUUCGUUUUGCGUGCAACAAUGUCUAAUUUACAUUCUCUGUUUCUGCAGCUGAAAUCACUGACAUUUUUCGGCAUGAAAAGUUGAGCAGAACUCCUUUUGCUCCUUUCGUGACUAAAAUGAGCCUCGCGUCGCCUGCUUUCAGAUGGCAGAGUGAUUAGAGACGCGGAGCAUAUUCUCUCCCCUGUGGCACUGAAAAUAGGAAGGAACUGGGAAUUUUGCACAGCCUUAGCCGUGAGAGCAGCGAGCAUCAAAAAGGAGAGAGAGCACCCAGCCCUGUGCAAUCCCAGAGCCCAUCCGCAGCGCUAAGGUCACGGCCGGUGUGAAGCCAAGAGCGGCGGGACCUCACGGAGACCCUCGAGAAGGCUCUGCCGGCAGCCAGGAGCUGCAGGAACCAGCCGUGGGCUCGGUCUGUUCUCCCCACCAGGAACACAAGGUCUGCCCUCAGCCUCACCAGCAGCAAGCAGGAGAAAGAACCGAGAUUUUUUUCUCUUUUUUUUUUUUUUCCUUGCCUGUAAUAUUUUAAAAGACAGUGAGUUCUGAAACUUGGGGAAACUAACUUGUGACUCUACGGGUCACCUCCAGAAGAUGGUGUUUAGUAGGGAGGUUUCCCUCCUUCUGUGCCCUACCACCGCCAGCAGCAACCUCAUCUCCAUGUUUUGUUCAUCGUAUUUUAUUAAAAACUAAUUGGUACGGAGAUAUUCCCAGAGUCUCAAUGUAUUUUCUCAGACAGUAGGGAUAAGGCAGGCAACGCAAGGGGAAGUUGCUUAUAAACACAGUCACAUGUAGCCUCAGAGCUCUUUGAAACCUUUGGCUGGAAAAAGCCAACCAACCUCAAACAACUAUUCUGCUUUGAAUCGCCACCUCCUUGCUGGUACAUGAAGCCAUUCUAAUGAAAAAGGCAAAAUUAAUGCUUGCAUUAGGGAUAUAUCACUGGUUUCUCUGAAGGGCUGAUAGCAGAGGUUUAAUAAAAAACCUUAGAACUUCUGCUAAACUUCCGAGAAUUGCCUCAAAUGGUUCUUGUUCAGUGAAACAUCUGAAGUCUACUUCUCAACACUUACUGUAUGUGCUGUAAUAAAGCUCUGUUUCACUGCA